CAUCAGGGGGUUGCGUGCGCAGCCUCCUCUGUUUCCGCCCUGAGAGCGGGCUCUUCUGAGUCGGGGAGAAUUGGGCAUCGUCACGUGCUCUGUCUGCGCCCCGAGUGGCCUCUUCUCCUCCUCCACAGACACCUCGGGGAGGGGUCAUCCUUCAGACACGCUGAGCCUAGGCUGCCCGCCCUUCCGCAGCCCCGCCCUGGCCGGCUCCUCGCGGCCCACUAGGCCGGUUCUUCCCCACGUCAGGACCCCGCCACCCCACUCUGCCCCUCCACCCGAGGCUGCCUUAUCCUUUUGCUUUCUCUCUUAAAUCUGCUGCCCGUUACUGCUAUUCUACCCUUUGUUACCAAAAUAAGUUGCUCUGUGGAGAAUUUCUGAUGAUCUCAUGGUGAUUUUCCUGCACCCGGAAGACACUUUGCUUUGCUUUGGGACCAUGGAUAUUCCUUGGGGCAGCCACCAAGGAUGAAUAAGGUUUGAAUGGGGAGGCACUGGCCUCGGAGCUCCUUGCUGCUGACAUCAGUUGUGCCCUUGUAGGAGACGUCCUGGUCCUGUCUGCCUCAGAGGCUUCCAUCUGCGGAUUUCCUGAGGUCGUCCCCUUACUCCUCUGCUGCAGUCUCUCUCAACAUUUCAACUGUCUGCUCCAGAAAGUUACUCUGUCACUAAGUAAAAUAAAUACAAACAAAAUAA
rnacentral:lncRNA from 1 species